rnacentral:rRNA from 1 species
UACAGAGGGUGCAAGCGUUGUUCGGAAUUAUUGGGCGUAAAGGGCGCGUAGGCGGUGCGGUAAGUCUGUAGUGAAAUCUCUGGGCUCAACUCAGAGUCUGCUGCAGAAACUGCCGUGCUUGAGUGUGGGAGAGGUGAGUGGAAUUUCCGGUGUAGCGGUGAAAUGCGUAGAUAUCGGAAGGAACACCAGUGGCGAAAGCGGCUUCCUGGUCCAGCACCGACGUUCAGGCACGAAAGCGUGGGGAGCAAACAGG